rnacentral:rRNA from 1 species
CCUUAUAGACAGGGACAACAUUGGAAACGAUAGCUAAUACCUGAUAAGAAAGAAAACUACGCAUGAGAGAAGUUCGAAAGUCGGAGCAAUCUGACACUAUAAGAUGGCUUUGCGGUGCAUUAGCUAGUUGGUAGGGUAAAAGCCUACCAAGGCGACGAUGCAUAGCCGACCUGAGAGGGCGGACGGCCACAUUGGGACUGAGAUACGGCCCAGACUCCUACGGGAGGCAGCAGAA